CUAACCCUCAAAUGUAUUAUUAAUAGUUACAAGUACAUGUAAUGGACAGAACCACACUAAUGGUCAUACUCCACAAUAUCAACAUAUUUUAGUUAUAGUUUUUGUGCUGUAAAAUACACAC